CGCCGUCUGUAAAUCACCGCCGUGCCGCGGCCGCUCGCGCUCCCGGGGCCGCGUGCUGCCAGCACCGGGGACGCCCCGGCUCGGCAUCACCCCCCGUGGCGUCACCCUGGGGGGCUGCAGCGUCGCCCCCCUACCCCCCUGGGGGGGGUCUGUCCCCUCCCUGGCAUCGUUGGGGGACGUGGGGGUGAGCUCUGGUCCUUGUGCCCCCAUCCGGGCUGGCCCUGCCCUCCCCGGUUGGUGCCCAGCUGGUUCUGCUCACCGACUCUGCGGGACACCAGUGGGAUACUGGGACGGGGACAAAGGAACUGGGAAAAGGGCAAGGGGACAAACAGGCUGUGCCCUGCUGGUCCUGGGCACCCAGGGUAGGUGGAGAGAGGGGACUGGAAAGGACAGACAGAGCAAGGACAGACAGAUAAGGAAGGACGGGAAGGGUAGGGAGAUGGAUAGGAAGGACAGACAGAUAGGAAGGACAGAUGGAUGGGAAGGACAGACGGAUGGGAAGGACAGACGGAUGGAUGGAUGGAUGGAUGGAUGGAUGGAUGGAUGGAUGGAUGGAUGGAUGGAUGGAUGGACGGACAGACGGACAGAUGGAUGGAUAGGGAGGACGGAUGGAUGGACAGGAAGGAUAGACAGAAAGGAGAGGCAGACAGGCAGGGAGGACAGAUGGGGAGGAGACGCGGAACGUGAGGCUGUGUGGGUAGGGACAGAUGGAGAGAAAGGACAGAGAGAAAGGAUGGAUGGAUGGAGAGGCAGCGCGGAGAGACAGGAAGGGCACGGGGAUAAGGAGAGACGGAUGGGAAGGACAGGCGGAUGGGGAGGACAGACGGACGGGAAGGAUUCCUCUCUCCUUGGGCACCUCUUGUGCAACUCCUCCUCCCCUGCACCCCUCUUCUUCUCUCCCCCUUCUCUCCCCACCUCGUCCCCUGGCAGCUCCCCGCCACCCUGUCCCUGUCCCCGCCACCUUGUCCCUGUCCCCAUCCCCGUCCCUGCUCAGCCUCGCCGGGGACAGCACUAAAUAACAGCGGGGCCGCGCCGCUCUCCCACCUCCCGCAUAAUCACCCGGCAGCUACGCUCCUGCCUUCGCCUUUUUGAUUUUCUGCUUGAAUUUCAAAGGCGCCGCGCG
rnacentral:lncRNA from 1 species